rnacentral:rRNA from 1 species
AUUGAACGCUGGCGGCAUGCCUUACACAUGCAAGUCGAACGGCAGCAUGAUCUAUCUUGCUAGAUUGAUGGCGAGUGGCGUACGGGUUAGUAAUACAUCGGAACGUGCCCUGUAGUGGGGGAUAACUAGUCGAAAGAUUAGCUAAUACCGCAUACGACCUGAGGGUGAAAGUGGGGGACCGCAAGGCCUCAUGCUAUAGGAGCGGCCGAGGUCUGAUUAGCUAGUUGGUGAGGUAAAGGCUCACCAAGGCGACGAUCAGUAGCUGGUCUGAGAGGACGAUCAGCCACACUGGGACUGAGACACGGCCCAGACUCCUACGGGAGGCAGCAGUGGGGAAUUUUGGACAAUGGGCGAAAGCCUGAUCCAGCAAUGCCGCGUGUGUGAAGAAGGCCUUCGGGUUGUAAAGCACUUUUGUCCGGAAAGAAAUGGCUCUGGUUAAUACCUGGGGUCGAUGACGGUACCGGAAGAAUAAGGACCGGCUAACUACGUG